rnacentral:rRNA from 1 species
GUAAACCCAAGGUUUCCAGGGGAAGGUUCGUCCGCCCUGGGUUAGUCGGGACCUAAGCUGAGGCCGAAAGGCGUAGGUGAUGGACAACAGGUUGAUAUUCCUGUACUACCGAUAACCGUUUGAGAGAAGGGAUGACACAGUAGGAUAAGCUAAGCACACUGUUGGUUAUGUGUGCCCAAGCAUUGAGGCAGUCAAAGUAGGCAAA